rnacentral:rRNA from 1 species
CCCUUAGAUGUCCUGGGCCGCACGCACGUUACACUGAUGCAUUCAACGAGCUUAUAACCUUGGCCGAGAGGCCUGGGCAAUCUUGUUAACGUGCAUCGUGAUAGGGAUAGAUUAUUGAAAUUAUUAAUCUUGAACGAGGAAUUCCUAGUAAACGCAGAUCAUCAAUCUGCAUUGAUUACGUCCCUGCCCUUUGUACACACCGCCCGUCGCUCCUACCGAUUGAAUGAUCCGAUGAAUACCAUGGAUUGAGAGUUCGAAUAGGUUCGCCUAUUUCAGCUUCUCGAGAAGUGGAGUAAAUCUUAUCAUUUAGAGGAAGGAGAAGUCGUAACA